rnacentral:rRNA from 1 species
GGAGUUAGGAAAUGCAGGUUGGUUAAUACCCGACCUGUUUGACAAAGGCCCCAAAGGAAGCCACGGCUAACUCUGUGCCAGCAGCCGCGGUAAUACAGAGGUGGCAAGCGCUGUUCGGUAUUAUUGGGCGUAAAGAGCACGUAGGUGGUUUUGUAAGUCAGAUGUGAAAGCCUUCUGUUCAAAGGAAGAACGGCAUCUGAAACUGCAGAUCUUGAGUGUAGGAGGGGAGAGUGGAACUUCUG